rnacentral:rRNA from 1 species
CCUACGGGGGGCAGCAGUGGGGAAUAUUGGACAAUGGGGGCAACCCUGAUCCAGCCAUGCCGCGUGUGUGAAGAAGGCCCUCGGGUUGUAAAGCACUUUCAGUGAGGAAGAACGCCUGGUGGUUAAUACCCAUCAGGAAAGACAUCACUCACAGAAGAAGCACCGGCUAACUCCGUGCCAGCAGCCGCGGUAAUACGGAGGGUGCGAGCGUUAAUCGGAAUUACUGGGCGUAAAGCGCGCGUAGGUGGCUUGAUAAGCCGGUUGUGAAAGCCCCGGGCUCAACCUGGGAACGGCAUCCGGAACUGUCAAGCUAGAGUGCAGGAGAGGAAGGUAGAAUUCCCGGUGGAGCGGUGAAAUGCGUAGAGAUCGGGAGGAAUACCAGUGGCGAAGGCGGCCUUCUGGACUGACACUGACACUGAGGUGCGAAAGCGUGGGUAGCAAACAGGAUUAGAUACCCCGGGUAGUC